GGGCCCAUAGCUCAACGGUUAGAGCAGUCGGCUCAUAACUGAUUGGUUGGGGGUUCGAAUCCCUCUGGGCCCACCA
rnacentral:tRNA from 1 species